UACGGAGGGUGCAAGCGUUACUCGGAAUUACUGGGCGUAAAGGGUGCGUAGGUUGUCUUAUAAGUUAACUGUGAAAUCCCCGGGCUCAACCUGGGCAGGUCAGUUAAGACUGUGGGACUAGAGUAUAGGAGAGGGUAGUGGAAUUUCCGGUGUAGCGGUGAAAUGCGUAGAGAUCGGAAGGAACACCAGUGGCGAAGGCGGCUACCUGGCCUAAUACUGACACUGAGGCACGAAAGCGUGGGGAGCAAACAGG
rnacentral:rRNA from 1 species